rnacentral:lncRNA from 1 species
CAAGGAGGUACAACUCAGACUUCCUGUGAGGGGAGUGGGGGCUCAGCCGUGGGUGAGUUAUCAUCUAAUCACACGUGUUGAGAAGCUGAGGUGCUGACGACUGUGAAGCCUCUCCUUCAAGACGGGGUUUCUUUUAGGGCAGCAUUAUUACUAAUACCUUCACUCUACAGCUUUUUGCAGUCCUGGGCGCCACGGUGAGCAAACACAUUUCCUGGGCAGCGUGGAAGGCACAUAGCAGAUAGCUAGCAGUUGUGUGCAAAAUGGACUGUGAAAUACACCAUCUUGGAACAGGCACAUAACUGGUCUAAGCAGUCUCCACAGACUGAAGCUGCUAGUCACUGAACCAGGACUUAAGGGCCCGCCUCUGUGCUCAAACAUCCCCCACAAUUACAGAUUAAAAACAACCCUUCCUUCAUGGCUGCAAGUGCAGGGAAACACAGAGUUGCCUGAAGAUCUGAAUGCGGCAUGAAACGUUCUCAGAGUUCAAGGUCUUGGAACAGAUCGUUCAUGAAGCCAGUCUUAUGAUUCACAGUCCUGGGUUCACUCUGUGGUCAAACCAGAAAAAAAUUAGAAGGAAGCCAGGUAUCUGGAAUGAAUUAACUCCCCCUCCCUUCCUCCCGCUUGCCCUCCUUCCCUCUUCUCCUUUCCCUUUCUCUUCCUUUUUCUCUCUCUCCCUCUCUCCUCUUUCUCUUUCUAAUUAUGAGGAGUACUGGAAAUUCAAACAGCUGGACCUUACAAUCAAACCUCUGUAUCUGAAUUUUCCACACCAAUGGUUCCAACGAUAAGGAACAAAAAUCUUUGGGAAGAGCAUCAGGACUGAAGAUGGAAGAAUCUCUACUUGUCCUCAUCCCCGAGGCAUGGCAUUCCCAGGUUCCAGCUGUGACCUCCUCCCUGCAGAUGCAGGCAGAAGAUGGUGUUAUGACAGAGGCGUUUUGCAGUGAUAAUGGGACCAGGUUCAUCUGGAGUUAGUGCUGCCCCUUCCUAAAGCCUCUUGGAAGGAUGACCUAGCUGGGUCAUUUGUUGGGGGAAUUUGACAUCAACCUUCAGAUCUCUCCUUUUGGGCCAUCUGAGAAGCUUCCAGCAUCCUGCCGAGCAUGUGAAGACCUGCCUGAUCUGCAAGCUGAGAGAAAAUAGUCUUACUCCAACUCCCAUGAUUUCUAUGCUUUUCGGACUCUGGCCCUUUGCUGUGUCUGGUGUUGUGGUCUUGACACUUUCGUCUUCUCCAUAGACUGAACCUCCAGCCUCCUGAUGGAGUUGGGGGAGGCAUCACCAACUGCUUCUCCAGCACUGUUCAGGGUUUCUGUUGCUGCGAACAGACAUCAUGACCACAGAAGCACUUAGAAAGGAAACGUUUCAUUUGGGUGGCUUACAGCUCAGAGGUUCAGUCCAUUAUCAUCAUGGUGGGACAUGGCAGCAUGCAGGCAUCAUGGAGGCAGACACGGUGCUGGAGAAGGAACUGAGAGUCCUACAUCUUGAUCCACAGAUGCUGUGUUUACAGGCAUGUGCAGCCAUGAUCAGCUUUUUACGUGGGUGUUGGGGAGUCAAACUGGAGUCCUCAUGUUUGUAG